GCUUCUGUAGCUCAGUAGGUAGAGCAAUACCAUGGUAAGGUAUAGGUCAGCGGUUCGAUUCCGCUCAGGAGCU
rfam:Clostridiales bacterium GWD2_32_19 gwd2_scaffold_658, whole genome shotgun sequence.